rnacentral:rRNA from 1 species
CCCUUAGAUGUUCUGGGCUGCACACGUGCUACACUGGCAGGUUCAGCGAGCUUCAUGCCCUGAUCUGAAAGGAAUGGGAAAUCUUUUCAAAACCUGCCGUGCUUGGGAUAGAUGUUUGCAAUUAUUCAUCUUCAACGAGGAUUGCCUUGUAAGCGCACGUCAUCAGCGUGCAUUGAAUACGACCCUGUAUUCUGUACACACCGCCCGUCGCUCCUACCGAUUGAAGUUUUCGGUGAGUUGACAGGAGGAUUUUUUUGAAACUGGUUCGCCAGUGGAUUUUAGAUCCAAAUGCCAACGAAUCGAUGGCUUUAGAGGAAGGGGAAGUCGUAACA